rnacentral:rRNA from 1 species
UACAGAGACUGCAAGCGUAUUCGGAUUCACUGGGCGUAAAGGGUGCGCAGGCGGUUGGGUGUGUCAGAUGUGAAAUCCCGAGGCUUAACCUCGGAACUGCGUCUGAAACUACUCGACUAGAGUACUGGAGAGGGAAACGGAAUUCACGGUGUAGCAGUGAAAUGCGUAGAUAUCGUGAGGAACACCAGAGGCGAAGGCGGUUUCCUGGACAGUUACUGACGCUCAGGCACGAAAAGCAUGGGGAGCAAAAGGG